rnacentral:rRNA from 1 species
ACGGAAGGCAGCAGUGGGGAAUAUUGCACAAUGGGGGAAACCCUGAUGCAGCGAGGCCGCGUGAGCGAAGAAGUAUUUCGGUAUGUAAAGCUCUGUCAGCAGGGAAGAAAAUGACGGUACCUGACCAAGAAGCACCGGCUAAAUACGUGCCAGCAGCCGCGGUAAUACGUAUGGUGCAAGCGUUAUCCGGAUUUACUGGGUGUAAAGGGAGCGUAGACGGAGGGGCAAGUCUGAAGUGAAAGCCCGGGGCCCAACCCCGGGACUGCUUUGGAAACUGUCCGUCUGGAGUGCCGGAGAGGUAAGCGGAAUUCCCAGUGUAGCGGUGAAAUGCGUAGAUAUUGGGAGGAACACCAGUGGCGAAGGCGGCUUACUGGACGGUCACUGACGUUGAGGCUCGAAAGCGUGGGGAGCAGACAGGAUUAGAUACCCUGGUA